UGCAUUCAAUGUGAAAACAUUUUUAUACUCUACAAGAGUUCUAAGAUGGCAAAGGACUUUGACAGUCCAUGGUAUGCACACAACUAUGCAGGCGCCAUUCUCUGUCCAUCAUGUCUGAAGUAGUAAGUGCUUGAGAUAGGACUGGAGCAUAUUACAGCAUGACUACCUCCCGGUGACCGUGCGUGAGCCUCCAAAGGGCCUUCCAGAAGGAGGAUAGCCGGAGGAGUUCUGGUCUGCUCAUCAUCAUUCCACUUAUAGGACAUUAAGAUAGUUCUUUCUAUUCCCCACAUGGUACUAAAGAAGAUGUGACCACUGGAGGAAGCUGGACUUGGAUGAGCUAGAGUUCCAUCAGGACCAUGAUUCUCAACCUUCCUA